rnacentral:rRNA from 1 species
AUUGAACGCUGGCGGCAGGCCUAACACAUGCAAGUCGAGCGGAUGAGUGGAGCUUGCUCCAUGAUUCAGCGGCGGACGGGUGAGUAAUGCCUAGGAAUCUGCCUGGUAGUGGGGGACAACGUUUCGAAAGGAACGCUAAUACCGCAUACGUCCUACGGGAGAAAGUGGGGGAUCUUCGGACCUCACGCUAUCAGAUGAGCCUAGGUCGGAUUAGCUAGUUGGUGAGGUAAAGGCUCACCAAGGCGACGAUCCGUAACUGGUCUGAGAGGAUGAUCAGUCACACUGGAACUGAGACACGGUACAGACUCCUACGGGAGGCAGCAGUGGGGAAUAUUGGACAAUGGGCGAAAGCCUGAUCCAGCCAUGCCGCGUGUGUGAAGAAGGUCUUCGGAUUGUAAAGCACUUUAAGUUGGGAGGAAGGGCAGUAAGUUAAUACCUUGCUGUUUUGACGUUACCAACAGAAUAAGCACCGGCUAACUUCGUGCCAGCAGCCGCCGUAAAAC